UACAGAGGUCUCAAGCGUUGUUCGGAUUCAUUGGGCGUAAAGGGUGCGUAGGUGGCGUCGUAAGUCAGGUGUGAAAUCUCGGAGCUUAACUCCGAAACUGCAUUUGAUACUGCGGUGCUUGAGGACUGGAGAGGAGACUGGAAUUUACGGUGUAGCAGUGAAAUGCGUAGAUAUCAGGAGGAACACCGGUGGCGAAGGCGGCCCUCUGGACGGUGACUGACGCUGAGACGCGAAAGCGUGGGGAGCAAACAGG
rnacentral:rRNA from 1 species